GACGAACGCUGGCGGCGUGCUUAACACAUGCAAGUCGAACGAUGAAGCCGGAGCUUGCUCUGGUGAAUUAGUGGCGAACGGGUGAGUAACACGUGAGUAACCUGCCCUUGACUCUGGGAUAACUGCGGGAAACUGUAGCUAAUACCGGAUACGACCCUCGGAGGCAUCUCCUGGGGGUGGAAAGAAUUUCGGUCAAGGAUGGACUCGCGGCCUAUCAGCCAGUUGGUGAGGUAAAGGCUCACCAAGGCGACGACGGGUAGCCGGCCUGAGAGGGUGAGCGGCCACACUGGGACUGAGACACGGCACAGACUCCUACGGGAGGCAGCAGUGGGGAAUAUUGCACAAUGGGCGCAAGCCUGAUGCAGCAACGCCGCGUGAGGGAUGACGGCCUUCGGGUUGUAAACCUCUUUUAGCAGGGAAGAAGCGAAAGUGACGGUACCUGCAGAAAAAGCACCGGCUAACUACGUGCCAGCCGCCGCAGUAA
rnacentral:rRNA from 1 species